rnacentral:rRNA from 1 species
UAAAGCACUUUAAGCGAGGAGGAGGCUCUUUUGGUUAAUACCCAAGAUGAGUGGACGUUACUCGCAGAAUAAGCACCGGCUAACUCUGUGCCAGCAGCCGCGGUAAUACAGAGGGUGCAAGCGUUAAUCGGAUUUACUGGGCGUAAAGCGCGCGUAGGCGGCCAAUUAAGUCAAAUGUGAAAUCCCCGAGCUUAACUUGGGAAUUGCAUUCGAUACUGGUUGGCUAGAGUGUGGGAGAGGAUGGUAGAAUUCCAGGUGUAGCGGUGAAAUGCGUAGAGAUCUGGAGGAAUACCGAUGGCGAAGGCAGCCAUCUGGCCUAACACUGACGCUGAGGUGCGAAAGCAUGGGGAGCAAACAGGAUUAGAUACCCUGGUAGUCCAUGCCGUAAACGAUGUCUACUAGCCGUUGGGGCCUUUGAGGCUUUAGUGGCGCAGCUAACGCGAUAAGUAGACCGCCUGGGGAGUACGGUCGCAAGACUAAAACUCAAAUGAAUUGACGGGGGCCCGCACAAGCGGUGGAGCAUGUGGUUUAAUUCGAUGCAACGCGAAGAACCUUACCUGGCCUUGACAUAGUAGAAACUUUCCAGAGAUGGAUUGGUGCCUUCGGGAAUCUACAUACAGGUGCUGCAUGGCUGUCGUCAGCUCGUGUCGUGAGAUGUUGGGUUAAGUCCCGCAACGAGCGCAACCCUUUUCCUUACUUGCCAGCAUUUCGGAUGGGAACUUUAAGGAUACUGCCAGUGACAAACUGGAGGAAGGCGGGGACGACGUCAAGUCAUCAUGGCCCUUACGGCCAGGGCUACACACGUGCUACAAUGGUCGGUACAAAGGGUUGCUACCUAGCGAUAGGAUGCUAAUCUCAAAAAGCCGAUCGUAGUCCGGAUUGGAGUCUGCAACUCGACUCCAUGAAGUCGGAAUCGCUAGUAAUCGCGGAUCAGAAUGCCGCGGUGAAUACGUUCCCGGGCCUUGUACACACCGCCCGUCACACCAUGGGAGUUUGUUGCACCAGAAGUAGCUAGCCUAACUGCA